UGGCGGACGGGUGAGUAACACGUGGGAACGUGCCMMUUGGUCGGAUAACMAGGGAAACUUGUGCUAAUACCGAAUGUGCCCUUCGGGGGAAAGAGUUAYCGCCAUUAGAGCGGCCCGCGUCUGAUUAGCUAGUUGGUGAGGUAAAGGCUCACCAAGGCGACGAUCAGUAGCUGGUCUGAGAGGAUGAUCAGCCACAUUGGGACUGAGACACGGCCCAAACUCCUACGGGAGGCAGCAGUGGGGAAUCUUGCGCAAUGGGCGAAAGCCUGACGCAGCCAUGCCGCGUGAAUGAUGAAGGUCUUAGGAUUGUAAAAUUCUUUCACCGGGGACGAUAAUGACGGUACCCGGAGAAGAAGCCCCGGCUAACUUCGUGCCA
rnacentral:rRNA from 1 species